rnacentral:rRNA from 1 species
AAAUUGAAGAGUUUGAUCAUGGCUCAGAUUGAACGCUGGCGGCAGGCCUAACACAUGCAAGUCGAACGGUAACAGGAAACAGCUUGCUGUUUCGCUGACGAGUGGCGGACGGGUGAGUAAUGUCUGGGAAACUGCCCGAUGGAGGGGGAUAACUACUGGAAACGGUAGCUAAUACCGCAUAACGUCGCAAGACCAAAGAGGGGGACCUUCGAGCCUCUUGCUAUCGGAUGUGCCCAGAUGGGAUUAGCUAGUAGGUGGGGUAACGGCUCACCUAGGCGACGAUCCCUAGCUGGUCUGAGAGGAUGACC